rnacentral:rRNA from 1 species
UACGGGGGGGGCAAGCGUUGUUCGGAAUUACUGGGCGUAAAGGGCUCGUAGGCGGCCAACUAAGUCAGACGUGAAAUCCCUCGGCUUAACCGGGGAACUGCGUCUGAUACUGGAUGGCUUGAGUAUGGGAGAGGAUGAGGGAAUUCCUGGUGUAGCGGUGAAAUGCGUAGAUAUCAGGAGGAACACCGGUGGCGAAGGCGCUCAUCUGGCCCAAUACUGACGCUGAUGACGCGAAAGCUAGGGGAGCAAACGGG